ensembl:lncRNA
UUCUCAGCUUCGUGUUUUUUUCUUCCUGCCUUCAGCCCUUCCUCUGUCCCUCCCCCACCCUUUUUUUCUUGGCUUAUUGCCUCUAGCAAUGAUCCUCUCUGACAAAACUAUUCGGGUCCCAUGGAGCCCUUCUCUGGAUUAAGCCUCAACAUCGAAGCAAUAAAGAUUUGAAAGAAACCUAACUUUCUAACAGCCCAAGCUGCUUCUCUAAAUUAAUCCUGGACGAUCUCCACCCCCAUUAAAGUGCAGGCCUGAGAAAACUCAGCCACAGGAAUUUAUCGUUUGUGCCAUUCAACUCCUGGUGACAGGCCCCAUCUCUGUGGGAGCCUAACUUUGAUAAGUGCUAGUUAACAAACCCAGAUAAAUUGCAAAGGAACAGCUCUCCUUCCCCACCCCCCUUUUGUAAUUUUCCACUUCCAGGAAUCUGCUGAGAGCCCCCACCCUGCCCGGCCCCCAUCCCCCUUUUCUUUCUUCCUUUAAAAUGCUCCUCCCUCUCAGGGUAAACAGAAGUGGAGUUCAGUUCACACUAGGUCCUUUCCAUAUUUCAACAGUGUAUUUCUGAUGAAAAUCUGUCCUAACCCUUUAACGUCUGAUUUGUUCAUCUUUGACAGUUUUUGGCUUCAGGGAUGGGAUCAGAAAGCACUACUGGACUCUCGGACAGACAGACCUCCCCGCGGCAUAGAGACCAUUUUCUGAUCUCCAGUGCUCUUGUCCAUUUUGAUUUCUGGUGGUUGAGACUGGAGCCUUGGACUUCUUGUGAAAAGUAUGUGCUGGAAUGGAACACCUUGCGAGCUCCUUGUUUUGAACUGCAGUGCUGCAACUUGGAUAGGAUAUGUUUCAUCACUGAAGACCAGACCACUCACUCAGGACCCUAA